UACGAAGGGGGCUAGCGUUGUUCGGAAUUACUGGGCGUAAAGCGCACGCAGGCGGAUCGUUAAGUCAGGGGUGAAAUCCCGAGGCUCAACCUCGGAACUGCCUCUGAUACUGGCGAUCUUCGAGUCCGGGAGAGGUGAGUGGAACUCCGAGUGUAGAGGUGAAAUUCGUAGAUAUUCGGAAGAACACCAGUGGCGAAGGCGGCUCACUGGCCCGGUACUGACGCUCAGGUGCGAAAGCGUGGGGAGCAAACAGG
rnacentral:rRNA from 1 species